UGAGUAACACGUAUCCAACCUGCCGUCUACUCUUGGACAGCCUUCUGAAAGGAAGAUUAAUACAAGAUGGCAUCAUGAGUUCACAUGUUCACAUGAUUAAAGGUACUCCGGUAGACGAUGGGGAUGCGUUCCAUUAGAUAGUAGGCGGGGUAACGGCCCACCUAGUCUUCGAUGGAUAGGGGUUCUGAGAGGAAGGUCCCCCACAUUGGAACUGAGACACGGUCCAA
rnacentral:rRNA from 1 species